GUUUAAUAGAUUCGUCUCGCAGAGUUAUAGAAUUGGUUUUAUUAUUAGUCUAUAUUUAAUACUUCUAAUUAGUGUUUAAACAUCCGAUGUUGCUGUAUCUAAACAGGCCCUAGGUUACAUCGUUUCUCUAGGGUUCCCUUUUUCUUGGGUUUCUUUGCCGGGUCGGCCGAAGGAAAUAUCAUUUUUCUAGGUGUCUUUUCGUUUUCUGAGGGGGCGCUCCGUUGCACUAACCUGUGCUGCUUUGAACUCUGUUGGCUCGUCCUAUUUCUAUGUGCGUGAGCUGCUGAUUUCUCUGCUCUUUAUAAAAGUCGACAUAGGUGAUGACGGUUCAUGGGAUUUAGAGUCGCACGUUUGUUUUUUUUUUUUAACAAAUUGGAGGGUCAUGCAUACACGAUACUGACUUAUAAAAUAGUAUACUUAAGAUUUGAAGGCUUAACUUCAUAAGGUGCACGGACGUGUUUUGACCAUCACACAUGGACUUUUUGAGACGCAAAUAUUACGUAUGGAACUAAUAUUAAAUAAUUAGAAGGGGUAAAACUUUGAACCCAAAUCGUCUAACCCACCACCUUGUAGAGCUAGCCGAAAGAUCCCUAUGCGUUUUUUACUUUUUGAGAUUAAAUCCUAAUAAAAAUAUGAGCACAUGUGUCAAAUUUGAGACCUAAACCUAGGUGACCUUGUGGAUAGAUUUUAUAAUCAAGGAUUAUGAACAACUGAAUUAUGCCCAGUUGAUAUCCAUUAUAUUAUAUAUGGCCUUAUCGUUCCGCUGAUUAGAGGAAUAGGCCAAACGACAUAUUUACAAACGAAAAAAAAUUGAAUUUUUUAUAUAUGUGUUCUCAACGAUUUAAAAGCAAAGAUUGAAAAUAAAUUUCGAUUCAAAAUCACAAAAUCAACUCCAAAUUAAGAUUGAAAAUUUAAAUUUUGAUUGAUAAGUAUAACCAUGUAUAAGCGAAACAAUGAUGCUUAUAUUACUUUGGGAAUCUUGUAGUUUUUUACCAAGCUCUUUUCACGUGGUAAUGUCGGCUGCAUGCAAUCGCACUCUCAGAUACCCUCUUUUCGUUUGGUUUCUUAAACAGAGCACUUGUAUAUUUGAUUUACUUUCUUGUGAAUUUCGUAUGAAGCACUUCCUCUUCCUCAAAAUAUAACCAUGUUUAGGAUUUAAAAUCUGUACCACAGUAAUGUUUUAGGCAGUGAUUCCAAUUCAAAGACGAAAUAUAUGCAGUUUCAAUCAAUCAAGUGGUUGGCAGAGGAAUUUAAGCAAUUUUAGAAUUCAAAAUUUGAUCAUUGAGUAAUCUUAAUAUUUGCCAAACAAUUUAGAAAUGCUCAUAUUUUAAGAUAAAGGGAUGCUUAUAUUUUAAGAUAAAGUCAUGAUAAAGUUCCAUGACGCAUUUAUUAUUCUUUUUCUUUUUAAAUUGGAGAGGCACUUCAAAUCCAAGAGAAUUGCUCGUAUUUACGGCUACUUUUUUUUUCAGUGGUAGGCAACGACGUAACCAUCAUAGUGACUAGUGAGAUACGGUCAUUUCGUUAAUUUUAAAAUAUAUUGUGCAGUCUUUUGAGAUAUUUAUAAAGAUAUGGUAUGUGUGCACGUUUGUGAACACCUGCGUUUGUCUUGUAUAUUUUUGAAAAAUGGUACUACCGUGCAAUGGUGCUGUUGGUGCAAGCAUGACAUAAAAGCACAUGGCGGUGAUGAGCUCGUCUCAAGGUGCGCAAAUGCAAAUCCAUCCAACAGCCAAACCUAAAGAUCAGCGUAAGCAAAUGGCCCAAAGCCCAUGGGCUUCGUAGAGGGCGCGGCCCAAUCUUGACCCAUUCUGCUACUCUAGGCCCUCCCAGCCAGAGCACUAGAGCAGUGCAGCGCGGCGGCGACUCGGCGCCGGCGUCGCCUCCGUGGUGGAGCUCGCCGGCGGAGGAUGCCUCCACCGUCCCCCGACCCCGCUCCUCGCCGUCCUCUUCUGUCAGUUCCUAUAUCCUAUCAUCCUUGAUGAACUCCUUGAGCCUCCCCAGGAACAUCACCAGGAUAACUAUCAGCUUACCCUCCUCGGUCCACCUGCCGACGAACCCGUAGGAAGCAUCUUUGCAAGUGGCAUCAGGCUUCAACAACUUCUGGCAACUGUAUCCUAGUGAGUAGCCUACAUUGCCGAAAGCGCUGUGGAAAUAAAAUGGCGUUAUUUCUGUUUGCUUGUAAGCAACCAAAAAAGAAAAAAAAAUGACAGGUCGUAGAUUUGAUAUGUUCUUGCAAAUUUAAUUAUGCUGGUUCAGUGGUUCUUAGUGAUCAUACUAGGCAAUUCGGAUUUUCAGUGAUGUAAUUUUGAUGUAGCCAUAGUUUCUGUUAUGGGCAGA